rnacentral:rRNA from 1 species
UAGUACGGCGAGUGAGCGGGAAGAGCUCAAGCUUAAAAUCUCCGCGCAAGUUUUGCGCGGCGAAUUGUAGUCUAUAGAGGCGUGGUCAGCGUGGGCGCUUGGGGCAAGUUCCUUGGAAGAGGACAGCAUGGAGGGUGAUACUCCCGUUCAUCCCUGAGUGGCUCGUGCGUACGACCCGUGUUCUUUGAGUCGCGUUGUUUGGGAAUGCAGCGCAAAGUAGGUGGUAAAUUCCAUCUAAAGCUAAAUAUUGGUGCGAGACCGAUAGCGAACAAGUACCGUGAGGGAAAGAUGAAAAGAACUUUGAAAAGAGAGUUAAAGAGUACCUGAAACUGCUGAAAGGGAACCGAAUCGUUUCCAGUGUCUAUAAUCUGUGGCAUAUUUCAUUGGCGAGUGUGCGCGUGCGUGUGCUGUGGCAGUGGCUUUUUUGGCUGCGCUCGGUGUGUGUGCUGUGUGUGCUUGCUGGUGCCCUGUGCUGCGGUGGGACGUCAAGGUCAGUUCGUAUGCUGCGGGAAAUGGCUGCCGAGGAGGUAGGGCUUACGCUCCGCGUUUGUCUGUUAUAUCUUGGUGGACGAGUCGUCGCGGUUGGGACUGAGGUGCCUACAACGUGCUUUUGAGUGAGUUUGUGUCUCCGUGUGCGCCGUGUGCGGAUAGCUUGCUAUGCGUGUGUGGUUGUGUGUGGAUUGAUGCGGGCUUUAACUUGUCGCCGUUC